CGCGAAUCAAACUACUUCUUGGAUGCCAUAGCCACAAUUGCGAAAGCAAUGCGAUGGAGUUGCGAGAAGCAGGAUACCGAAUACAGCGUGGAGAAGGAGAAGCUUCUGAUAUGUGAGAAGAAACUUUGGUACUCUAAGAAAAUCGAGCAGGAAUGAGCAAGUUGGGGUAAAAAUGAUAAGGAUAAUCCAAUUAUAGAAAUAUUAUAAAGACAUUCCCUGAUUUUUUUUACAGAGAAUAGAAAUUGCAAUUCUGCUUGUGCCUCCUUGAAUCCUUUAUAUCGGAAAUUAGUUUAUGUUAUUUCCUGUUUCAUGUUUUUAUUAAUGGAUAGCAAGAGAAAAGGUGAAAUAUGUUACAAAUGGAAGACUUA
rnacentral:misc_RNA from 1 species